AGUGAACGCUGGAUUUAGCAGCAAUUAAAUCAUUGGAUACAUUGGUCGGGGCAGUUUUGACAGAGUGAAGAGCGAGGAAUCCAGACUGAAGUAAGUCUAGCAGAGAAUUAGAUUCGAGGAAGUCAAUCAAUCUAGCGUAGACGGUCCUCUCGAGGAUCUUGAAGGAAAUCAGUAGUAAUGAGUUAAAUGAGGAGUUAGGGUCAAGGUUGGGCUUUUUUAGAAUCGGGGUGAUGCUUGCGUGCUUGAAGAGUGAAGGAAAUAUGCCAGAGGAGAGCGAGAGAUUGAAUAUUUUAGUGAGGGGUAAGAGACAUUAGAGACCUCUUUCCUGAUCAUGGAACUCUUCUCAGUGAAGUGAGUUGCAAAGUCUGUAGCAGUAAAGUUAGGAAGAGUAGCAGCAACAGGGCAAAGUAGAGAGUUAAGUGUGAAAGAGGCGUACAAGCAUAGCAUAAAAUUAUAAUAGAGAAUGUCAUAUGCAGAAUCUGUGCAAAGGUUGUAACCGGGGUCGUUUAUAAUGUUUAAAUAUAGGAGGUGCCACGAUAUCUAGUUCAGGGGAGAAUGCAAAUAAUUUUAUCUAUUGAAGUUACCGAGAAGAAAAAAAAAAUCAUCAUUUUAACUAAAUAAUAUUUUUGAAUAUGUGACAUUGGAAUUUCCCCUUACAUUAUCUGUAAUGGUCUCACAUUGUUUCCAUGUAUUCUCCAUAUUUAUAGUCCCCUAAAUGCUCAUAUUAUACCCAUGUAUAUUUUAUUUGUUACUACAUUACCAUGACAUUGCCUAUAUUAACCUCACAUCGUAACCAUGUUGCCACUUUAGAAACAAAGACACACAAAUAGACGUGCACACGCUCACAUGCAUACUGACAGAGCUAGUUACAGAGAGAGAGAGAGAGUGUGUGUGUUUUUCCAUUUGUAAUUGUCCAAAUAAUUUUGGUAGUGAAGAGGUUAAAGAGGCAACAAAAUAUGUAAAGAACAGGCACGUGGUGAUCUAGUGUUCACAAGUCACAUGUACAUUUAUUGUCAAGCAGAUUUAGAUACAGAGUGGACCACCAGACAUACAUAUAAUGAACUUUACUGUCUAAAUGGAAUAAUGGUCCUGGUUAUACUCUAUGUAAACAAACUCCAGAUUUGGCAAUCCAAGCGUAAUAACAAAUUGCAAUUUGUCUAAAUCUUAAAAUGACUGUUUUGGAAAAUUACAUGAAUAAGGUACUGACAUUUUUAUAGAAAGGAUCCCUUGUGUGCUUCACCUGCCAAUGGAAAAGUACUGAAUUGAGGGACGAGUUACUCCGGAGACCAAGCUUUCAGUGCACAAGACUUUUAGAGGGCUGUGUUUUUACCAAUUAAGUUGCAGUCCGCGUGGUUGUUACUAAUGAGCUUUGGUUAAUUCUCCAUAUCAGCUUUUUCCCUUUGAAUUUUACAGCACACCUGUUGAUUUGGAGAUUUGAAAAGAAACUAAACUAUAUAUAAUUUACAAGUUUAGGCAACGCAUGGUAGGCACCUAUAAUUUAUAAAACUGGCACUGGAAGUAUAAACCAACUUUCUCGUUUCUUUUAAGCACACUCCGCUUGUCUGAAGUCUAUCAAUUUUUCAACAGUUUAUUAAAGGACAACUAUAGGCACCCAGACCACUUAAGCUUAAUGAAGUGGUCUGGGUGCCAGGUCCAUCUAGGGUUAACCCUGUCUGCUGUAAACAUAGCAGUUUCAGAGAAACUGCUAUGUUUACAUAUGGGUUAAUUCAGCCUCUAGUGGUUGUCUCAUUGACAGCCGCUAGAGGCACUUCCGCGCUUCUCACUGUGAUUUUCACAGUGAGAAGAUGCCAGCGUCAAUAGGAAAGCAUUGAGAAAUGCUUUCCUAUGGACUGACUGAAUGUGCGCGCAGCUCAUGCCGCGCAUGCACAUUCAGCCGAUGACGUCGGAAGGAGGAGGAGAGUCCCCAGCGCCGAGGGAGCCCGGCACUGGAGAAAGGCAAGAUUUGAAUCCCUUCCUCCCACUUCAGCCCGGUGGGAGAGGGCCAUGAGGGUGGGGGGGACCUAUUAAUACUAUAGUGCCAGGAAAACAAGUUUGUUUUCCUGGCACUAUAGUGGUCCUUUAAGUGACAGUUUUUUUUUUUUGCUGUGCAUAAGAGUAAUACAUACAAACUUGAGGUACCCCAACGGCAAUCCUCAGACUAAGCUUCUUGUAAUACUAUUGGAGUAGUAGAUUAGGCAAGCAAACUUUUAUAUAAUGAACAAGAGAUAACAGGAUUGAGAGGUUUCUAGUCAGGUCUGUCUAGCUACCAUUCAUAUUACAGGCUAGUAGCAAACAUAUAGUGGGGACUGGCAUGGCUAGGAGACAAGCUAGGGUAGAUAAUAUAAGGUUAACAAGCUAAACUGCCGCCAUGCAAAAUGCUGCUCGCUAUAAGGACACAGCUGUUUUACAUGAGAGUCUGUGUAGGUUUCUAAAGUAAAGGAUCUCCACUGGGGCUAUGCUAUCGGUAGUACUCUGCAUUACUUAAAGCUAGUCAUGGAGAGACAUUUGGAAAUGAGUGGGUUCUGACCUCGUGGUAAAUUUUUUUUUACAAAAAAUAAAAUAUAUAUAUAUAUAUAUAUAUAUAUAUAUAUAUAUAUAUAAUAAAGGGUAGAUUGCAGUAUGCAUGCAAUUCUAGGUCACUUCUUUAGCAUCUUGGGUACAUAUGUGUGUUACUGUGGAUAAACAUGCUAGAGUCUCAGCCCUGCAGUCAGCCAACUCCCGUCAUGUGUACGUUACUGUCCCGAUACAGGUACGUGUAGGCCUGAAGCAUUUGCGGUCCCGUGGUCCUGCAUAUCCGGCGGUGCACGAGAGAGGACUCCGGAUCAGGUUGUUAGUGCUGGGGUUGAGGGAGCCAAGUGCUCCACAUUCGGGGUGAUCAGUGUCUCGUGCGUGGGCUAAUUAGAUGGAGUGCAGCUAACCUCCGCUUCAGCUUCUUGUACCUCUGAGACUCCCUGUAUGUUCCUUUCCCCUCCGCUGCCUGAGUGGACAUUUCAGGCCUUGCUUCAUCAUGCUUCGGUGCAGACCUAUUAACAGCCCGUCUGGAGCUGAACCAUCGUGGUUUGCACCGCCAAAGGCUCGCUCUCUGAGGGUUAGAGGCCACAGGUUGGACCCGAAGUCAUCGUGGAGACUGCACAGGUGAGUGAAGUGGCAAGGUCUGCAGGACUGGUGUGAGGUGUCUGAGGUGCAGCUUCAGCCAGAAUUCCUCAAAGAGGCUAUCCAGAUGUGUCAAAGUUACAGACCACAUUCCCUGUUUAGAUGUAGAGCAUGAGGGAUCCGUCAUGUUGAAUGUGCUGGUUGUAGUGGCACCGCUGGACAUGGCAGGUAGGCUGCUGCUGGCGCUAGAUUUCUGGCACUUGGUCACCAUAGGGGGAGGAGAAGGUGUCGGGAUAUUCCCCACCGGCAGGGGGAGGGGCAUUUGCAAGGAGAGACUGCGUGAGUAGUCGGCAGCAUCAUGCUGAGAGAGUGGCCGUCUUCCUAUCGCAAUGAAGGCCUUUUGUAGGCCGCAAGUCUGCUCCUCAGUGAAGCCGUCGAUCUCGGUCCUGAUCUCAGGUAGUGGUACCACUGGGUUCCUUCUGUCUCUUGGUUAGUUCAGUAAUGUGGAGUGCAGGCUGGAAUCGAGUAAUUAAUGCUUUUUCAGAGCCUCUUCUGAUGUGCGACCAAUUGGCCCGGCGGUCAGGCUCUGUCCCCCAAAAGUGCUUGUUUUAAUAGAGAUCAGCCCUUUUUUGACUGGACACUGAAAUGCCUCCUUUUUUGUCACUCUAGGGAGGCUUUCUUCCACUUUACUACAAAGGCUAGGCUCGAGCGUGUCUGCUUUCCACAUUCUCGAAUGACCUCAAUGAGAAGCAGUAGAAAGCUGCGAUUGCACAGCUUUGUGGCUGCAGAACAAUGAGAGCCUCAAUAAUGAAACCCUCUGAUUGGUCAGUUCCACAGACCGAGAGUGUAGGGCUUGCAAAGGCUUUGCAAGCUGUUGUUUUAUAUAUCCCCAAAGAAAACAAUGAGAAUAAUGCAUAUGUUUAUGUCCACUAGCACGUUGAUAGGUUGGCUUUCAUCAUUGUCUACAUCAUUGUUUAGUAGACAUGGAAUGGUUGACUGGGGCAUUGCAUGAGGCAGGCUUAAAGGGACACUAUAGUCACCAGAACAACUACAGCUUAUUGCAUUUGUUCUGGUGAGUAGACUCAGUCCCUUCAGGCCUUUUGCUGUAAACAUUGUCUUUUCAGAGAAAAUGCAGUGUUUACAUUAAAGCCUAGUGAUAACUCCACUGGCCACUUCUCAGAUGGCUGCUAGAGAUGCUUCCUGGGGCAGUGCUGCACAAUGUGACUGACAUUCAGUGUCUCCAGCCUCUGCAGACACUGAACUUUCCUCAUAGAGAUGCAUUAAUUAAAUUAAUAUCUAUUAGGAGAUGCUGAUUGACCAGGGCUGUGUUUGUCUUGUGCUGGCUCGGCCCCUGAUCUGCCUCCUUGACAGUCUCAGUCAUACCUAUGGGGAAGCAUUGUGAUUGGCUCAGACCACUACUUCUGAUGAUGUCAAAGGAUAUAUGCAGUUCAGAGGUAGACAGGUGCAGAGCCAGCAGGUGCAGACAGGAAUACAAGUAAUAUUUUACUAGUGGGUGGGGGGUUAACACUAUAGGAUCAGGAAUACAUGUUUGUGUUUUGACCCUAUAGUGUUCCUUUAAGACUUGUCUUAUACUAAUUUGGGGUCAUAUUAACCCUCACAGGCUUUUUUAUUUCCUUUUUUUUUUGGAGUUAGUCUUUUAAAAAGGUAGCUCUAUGUUCACAUUUAUUGUCCAUUUUAUUGCGAGCAGCUGUCCCUUUUUGCUGAAGAUUCUGGCUGGCAUUAAAUCUAGUCAGAAUAAUAAAACAAAAAGGACCAAGAAUAGUCGACAUUUAUUGUUGUUAAGAGACUCCUGCUUGCUUGAACGUUUUAGUGAUGAGUUCAAAGUAACCAUGUUUUGAAAAAUGCCUGGCUUAAUGAAUUAUGAUUCUUAUGUAGGAAACUUUAAUAGACACAUUAAAACAUCAGCACUACAAUGAACACGUACAAAAAGAGGAAGAAAGUAGAAAUGAAAACUUAAAAUCUCCAAUUUGCAUGUUAGCAGACAUCAUAAGAGGAGAGUUAGCAGUCUGCAAAUCCUGCACUCCUGGAUACAGGCAAUACCGAGCCAAAGGAGGGUUGAAUCAGUCUUCAAGAAGGGACUGGUGUCCACCAGUGUGUUACAUGGAAGUUGGAUGUCAUCUAAGUAAGGGAUAGAAUAUUGGCUCAUCCUGGGUUAGCCAGUAGCUGUUAGAAUGGUCCGAGCAAAGUGAUAGCCAACGUGCUUAUGACAUUGCUGUUGAUCUAUCACCAACAUAGAAAAAUACAUUUUGUAUGUAUGUUUUUAUAGUGGUAAUUGAGGGAUCAUAGGUGGUGUACUGUAGCCCUGAAGGGAAUUUGGAGACUCCGUCAGACCUGUAGCUGUAUUUGAGGUUUUCAGCUUUACAGACCAGUUUACAUCAAUGGUCCAUAACAAAGUAGCAUCUUCUGUUAUCUCCCCAUUUAGAGUAAAUAAUGAGGACCACUUUUAUUGUGCUUGUGGUUCUUGAGGUAUAGCAGGAUCCAACUAGGCAUACUGCUUGAACUUUGGCUUUCAGCAUUGUGGGAGUUUAGGCAUUGUGAAGAUCAGGCCCAGAGAAUUGAGACACCAUCUAAAGUGGAGAAUAAUAUGUUGGCAACUGUUGCUUCAUAAAUACACAUUAUUUUGCAUUCAUGGCGUCCGUUUAACAGAGUAGAGCUUCUGUGUCAAGGUGAAGAAAGCACGCUGCUCUGAUACCCCGUUUGGAGCCAUCAUAUAGAGAUCCUCACUUUGGCAGACAGUUUGAGGGGUGAACAAGGGCUUAUUGUGUAUAAAGGACACUUCACAGAAAAUAGAAUUUGUGAUGAACAGUAGUAGUAAUACCAGUAGAUAGGUGAGAAAUGGCCUUCCGAUCCCUGGCAAGUCUCUAAAGCCAGUGAUUUGAUUCAGGCCCAUGAUUUGAUUCAGUUUACUGUUUAAAGCAGGGACUUUGUAGAAAUGUCCAAAGGGCUCAAAAGAAAGGGCCGCUGAUGGAGAGAUGAAAAAUGUCUAUUGCAUGCCAAGUAACUGGUCUGAGGGCCACCGUCACAUUAAGCAGUAAGCAUGGACCAUACAGGCAUUUUUUUAUAGAAAGCUAUGAAGUAUGCAAAUAAUAAUAAUAAUAAUAAUAUGUUGUUGCACAAAAUCACAGGCAAGAAAUACUCCUCACUUUGUGAUGUCAAACAGCAGCUAUGUUCUUGUACACUGGAUGCAUGUACUAUGUGGACAAACCUUACAAGUUUUGUGGUACCUGUACAGAUUCUCUCAUCAUUUGUUUUUUUUAUUUUUGUUUUUUUUUAUGAGAGGGUCUGUACUGCAGUUCUACACAUGUGCAGCUGUGGAAAGAUUAGUUAAUUGGAAUAUGCCAAUUGAGUUUUGUGUUCUAGUAUCUUACCAAGUAGUUGUAUUCAUAUAAUUUCAUAAAUUACAUAGGUUUAACUACUUACAUCAGGGAAGGGGGAAGUAUAAGACCCCAGUAGUGGUUAUGGUGUUUGAAGUGUUUCCUUAAAUACAGUUUUGAAGCAUGAUGAUAAUGAAAAGGUCUGCAAAAGAAAGUUUAAAUAAUGAAGAGUAUUUAUACUGACUUGGUGAUAGCUUUAAACUAGUCCAACUGGAAAACGUUUUUUGGGGGGGUUUUUUGCCCAGGCUUGUUGUGAUAUAGCACAAUUAUUUCCAUUAUUUUUUUUAUUUUUAAAGCAACAAUGAUCCCCAACACUGCACAAAAGGCAAACAAAACACAAGAUGUUUUUGGUGGCAAAACAAGUUUAGACAGGAACAAAAAAUGGCAUGGACCCAACUGGAAGAAUCCUACAGUCUGAAAACCCCAAAACUCACAGCACAGCUAAGCAUACUCUGAGCAACACCGACUGAUCCCCCUCUUAAUCCCCCUCGUGUGCUCUAAACAGGCCGCUUAGACCUUCUGUGUCUCCAAGAUCUCCCUCUGGGGUUAAAGAACAAAGUGACAGCGUUUUGUAAGAUCCAGUCUGCUCCAGAUCAGGAUGUUUGUAUAAACUUCAGCCUUCAGAUCAAAUCUUCAGUAAAUAUCAUUUAUUUGACUAAUGUUGCUGCCGCAGUCUGUAAUUCCAGCCCUGAACUUUAAAGAAAGGCUUCUGUGGAAGAAUAACAGAUAAACAUCAGCUUUGUCUGGAGUGUAAUUGCAUGCCGACAUUAUUUUCCUAAUUGAAACACGGAUCACGUUACCCCAUAACAAAGAAGGAGAUGCAGAAUCCAAAAUUGCUCCACAAAAAUUACUUUUCCCAAGAAUGCACUAAAGGAGCCAUGAAUUAAUAAAUAUGAAAGUAAGAAAACACAAAAAAAAGACAUUAAGAGCUUAUUACUAUAUGCAUGCUUUCAGCCUGAGUUGUACUUUAUUAAUCAUGUAUGGAGCUGUUAGUAAAUUUCAUAUCUACAGAAAUAAAUUCACAAAGUAGAACUAUUUUAACCCGUGUUAAUUGCAAAUGAUAUUUCUUGCAAGCGAUGUGUUCUGUGCACACAAGUCCUUCUUCACUAUUUUCCCUCUAGCUUUGAUUUUAUUAUUAUUGGCAUUUAAAUGCAAGAAUAAAUUAAACUAUUACAAUUUUAAAGGAAUAAUAAGGCGAUGAGGACCACACUUGAAAGAGCUUUAAUUCUAGAAGAGGUGGGGUAUAAAAACAUAAUAGGAAGGGCGGCGUGUAGGAUUGUAAUCAAGUGACAAACUGGGAAAGCAGUGCUGAGAGUAAAAUGGAAAGUGUACCCACUAAUUAAAGGAACACAAUAGGGGCAGGUACAAAAGUAUCCCUGUGUCAGGAUACGAGUUGAUCCAGCAAGCAGAAUUGUGUCACACCUAGGACUAAAGGUAAUGUCUUACUGGGCCUUAAAAUGGCCGGACUUAACGUACCAGAGAAUAGUCAGGAUACUUGCCGAGGUCAGGGACACAGAGGGAGACACAACGAUGAGGGAAAAGCCGAAAGUCAAGGAUACCAGAAUACAGGGAAGUCAAAAUGAAGCCAAAGUCAAAAACCAGAAAUAAAUGCUCAGGAACACGCUCUCGGAUAACAUACUAAGGGAAACCAUGACAGGGCAAUAAGAAAAAGGAAAAAUUAGUUUAAAUAAGCCUCCUUCAGAUCUGAUUGGCCGUACCCAGCCUCUGACCCCAGAACGUGCGUGCGCGUCCUUUGCAUGACGUCACACGCACGUUGACAUCGUCAAUAACAUGGGUGGACGUGGGGUUACAAAUUGGAAUGGAUCCGCAGCAGCCAGCGGCCUUCAACAUGCCGCAGGAGUCAGAUACAUCGGUACAGGGCUGCUGAGUAACACCUCAGUUAAUGCCAGAAAGGCAUUUGUCGUCACAGACACCACGAGGUGAGGAUGAACAUGUGACACCCUGAACCUAUAGUGUUAAAAACACUAUCUAGCCCCUUGUCCCCUAAAUAUAGUACAAUCUUACCUUUAUUCCAGUAUGCUGGUGCUGGUUCUGUCCUGAUCUGCCCUCUUGGCUGACAUCAUCAGAAGUGAUGAUCACAGCCAAUCACAAUGCUUUCCCACAAGAAAGCAUUGGAUUGGUUGAGAUUGUCUCUAUGAGGAAAGUUCAGUGUCUCCAUGCAGAGGGCGAGACACUGAAUGUCAGUGCUGCAUAGCGUACAGCACUGACUUCCCCAGAAAGCACCACUAGUAGCCAUCUGAGGAGUGGCUGCUGGAGGUAUCCCUAGGCUGUAAUGUAACACUGCCUUUUCUCUGAAAAGACAGUGUUUACUGCAAAAAGCCUGCAGGGACUGACUAUACUCACCAGAACAAUUACAUUAAACUGUAAGUUGUUCUGAUGACUCUAGUGUACCUUUAAGGUUUGCGACUAAGAGAUAGAUUUGAGGAAUGACAGUUACUCUGGUAUGCCAUAGGCUAUUGUGAAGAGAUUCAUUUUAAGAUUUAAGUUAAUGGUUAAGGCAAAUAUUAUGGCAAAAUUAGUUCAGUACUUUUCAAGUUUUCCCCUCUUAUCUUAAACUACUCCAUAUUACUUUUUCUGAUAUUAAGUAGGAUGUUUUUAUUAUUCUGCCAUUUUGCCACCUUUACUCAUUAUCCCUUUUUUAACCCCUUAAGGACCAAACUUCUGGAAUAAAAGGAAAUCAUGACAUGUCACACACGUCAUGUGUCCUUAAGGGGUUAAAGCUUUCAUAUAACUAGGUUUGAAAGUUAAGAUGUCUAGUGUUAACAUUUCUAGAUCUUCUCAGAUUUAAUUGUCACUCGUUUCUGAAAAAGGGGAAAGAAAUACAAUUCACACAAAACAGCAAGUAACCUUCCUGUUUAAGAUCUGAUUUUCCAAAAUUUCAAGGGCUUACUAUUUUAUUCAUUCAUAAGUACAGUUCAGGAAGGUAAUCAUACUUGCUAGCGAAGUAAGACAAACAUCCGUCUUGCCUUCUGGUAUGUCUUAUUAGAAGUGGGUUUUCUUGUGACUGCCUGUAAAGCUUUGGGAGCAGGACCCUUGCCAGCUUGGUUUCAAUGUAAUGUUUUAAGUGCUCUUGAAGACAUUACCAAUGUAUUGCUACCUUCCUCAAAUCAUUGAUAUGAAUGAGAAUAGUAUAUUACUCUAAACUAGAAGUAGGUAGCUACACCUACGUAAGCUGUGUAUUCCAAAAUAGUCAUCUUGUACAGGAGUGAGUGUAAAUACAUCUUAUUUUUUUAAAGAUACACUCCAAAUACCACUAUCCAUGACAGUUUGCUACAAUUGGGCUUGCGCCAGGGUCUGCUAAAUAGCCACUGCAGUGGUCAUUUAGCAGACCUGAUCAUUGAUAUCAAUGAAAGUAAUAUAGCUUUUCAAUUAAGCUGUGAUUAGUGUUGCCAUUUCCACUGAUAUCAGUAAACGUUUAAAUCAUAAACCAAGUUAUAUAUUUUUGUUCUGCACUCAGAUUGGUCAUUUGUAUUCACUAUUGGACGUACCUCCACGUUGACACAUUCGGUGCACCUAAAUGAUUUGUUUUAAUGGGAGUGAGCAGUCUAGAUUAUGCCAGUGAAGGCUCAUCCAUAGGGGCACUUGGGGCAGAGCCCCACCAAGUUUUUAUGUGGGCUAAAAUAUAUGGGGGGAAAUGUGAGUGUCUCUUUAAUUCUGUAAUAGAUUUCUGUUCUGCAGGUAGCUGUUUAGAGAAACCCAUAAAGGGCACUAUAUGGACAACUCAAUAGAAAGCCAUCCUUGCCCAUAGAGGGCCAUCCUUGACCAUGUAUAGUCAGCCCGGCGUGCAUUCAACCCUGUCUAACCUUUAUGGGCAGGUCUGACCCCUUUCCCCUUUCCCCACUUCCAAUCACAUCCCGAUUCACAGGACAUCGAAGCUAGUAGGUAUGCAGUAGUGUGGCCUGAGAGAGCUGCGGAAACAGAGGUAAACUGACUGUUGUCUACCUCUCGUGUGUCUUAAAGGGAAACGUUUUCCUGGCACUGCAGGUCCCCUCUCCCUCCCACCCCCCAAUCCCUGUUUGCUGAAGGGGUGAAAACCUGAGCCAGCGACAUGUCCCACGUUGCUGCUUCCUCCUCCGUCGCCGCUCCUCCUCUGCAUUGCGUCGGCCGGUGGGCAAGACUGAUCCCGCCCACCGGCCCGGGUGACCUAAUGCGCAUGCGCGGCAAUGUUGCGCAUGCACAUUAGCGCUCCUCAUAGGAAAGCAUUAAAAAUGCAUUUCAAUGCUUUCCUAUGGGGAAAUGAGCAACGCUGGAGGUCCUCACACAGUGUAAUCUGUGCUAUGAUCAAGGUAGUGCCCUCUAGUGGCUAUCUAGUAGACAGCCACUAGAGGUGGAGUUAACCCUGCAAGGUAAUUAUUGCAGUUUAUAAAAAAAAACUGCAAUAAUUACACUUUCAGGGUUAAGAGUAGUGGGCAGAAGUGGUCUGGGUGCCUAGAGUGUCCCUUUAACAAUUUCAUAUUGUUCAGAGACUUUAUUCUCAUCUAACCAAGUGAAGCAGACAUGUUGACAAUGACAGGAUGUAACCAAAUUGUGUAGUGUAAUUCCCUUGUGUCCUCCAGUUAGCCCGAUGCAGUGGCAACUUGAGCUGCUCCAUUGCAAGUUGUUUUGUUUACGCUCCUCUGCCUGUUGCACUGCCUGUUAAUCUGGCUCUGGUCUCUAGUGGUACAGAAACACGAAAGCUAUGCACCAUUAACAUAGGCUGCUUCCCUUGGCAAAUUGCUCAGUGACUUGGCAUCCUAGAAUAAAAUCAACUGUAUUUUCCACUUUACUCACAACUAAUAAAAGCAUAUCGUUUUGUAGAAUCAUAGACUUGCCAUUUCAAGUUGUUUUUUUGGCAAGGUUUUACUUAGUUAGAGGAUAAGAGGUUCCUUCCUUUUAUGAAUAGGAACACAUACAUCGUGUAGUACCUAUGUUUUUUUGUAGAAUUGGCAUUGGGACUGUGCUGACAAUGUGUACAGAACUAUUUAGCCAUUUGUAGUAGUGAAAUAUUUUAUAUUGUUCAAGGUGUGAUUGUGUUGGGUUCUUUAUCUGAUUACUAAACAGAAAUAUGGAGAGCAGGCUUUACAAAGUAUAGUGUAGUAUUAAUCCAUUUUAUUAAAAAUUUUUACUACGAUUCAGCUGGAAAAGCAUACAUAAUUAAGGCUUUUGUAGUUGUUGAUUUUUCUAUGCCUCAGAGCCCCCAAUAUCUUUAAUAACAUUGAUUAAUACUACGCUAUAGCUUGCAAGGCCAGCACUAUCCAAACGACGGCCCUGCUGUUUGCCACGACGGCCUGGUGGGGAGAUCAAAUAUUUCCCUCACCGGCCCACUUGGACAGACAUGCGGCUGGAGAGGAAGAGGAGGACCCGGCAAUGCUCUAUCUUUCAGCUCCGCCGGGUUCUUCUAGCGAGAUCUUGCGAGAGUGAACUCUAGUCCCGCAGGUUAGAGUUCACUCACCACUAGGACCACCAGGGAUGGUAUCAGAGUGCCGGUCUCCCACCCUCCCCCCCUCUCCCAGGUACCACCGUGCCGGACCCCCUCCCAGGCUAAAUGUAAGGGGAGGGGGGUAUUAUGCCUGCUUAGUUUUUUUGUUUUUCUUUAUUUACCCCCCCCAACACACAAUCCCUUCUAACAUUUAUACACAGCACUCUCACACACAUCAUCCACAGCACUCUCACACACAGCACUCUCACACACAUCAUCCACUGCACUCUCACACUCAGCACUCUCACACACAGCACUCUCACACACAUCAUCCACAGCACUCACACACAUCAUCCACAGCACUCACACACAGCGCUCUCACACUCAGCACUCUCACACACACAUCAUCCACAGCACUCUCACACUCAGCACUCUCACACACAUCAUCCACAGCACUCACACACAGCGCUCUCACACUCAGCACUCUCACACACAGCACUCUCACACACAUCAUCCACAGCACUCUCACACUCAGCACUCUCACACUCAGCACUCUCACACACAUCAUCUACAGCACUCACACAUAGCACUCUCACACACAUCACACACAGCACUCUCACACACUCUCACACACAUCAUCCACAGCACUCUCACACUGGGCACUCUCACACACAUCAUCCACAGCACUUACACACAGCACUCUCACACAUCUCACACACAGCACUCUCACACACAUCACACACAGCACUCUCACACACAUCACACACAGCACUCUCACACUCGGCACUCUCACACACAUCACGCAGAGCACUCUCUCACACAUCAUACACAGUACUAUCACACUCAGCACACUCACACAGCACUCAGCACUCUCACACACAUCACACACAGCACUCUCACACACAUCACGCAGAGCACUCUCUCACACAUCAUACACAGUACUAUCGCACUCAGCACACUCACACAGCACUCAGCAGUCUCACACACAUCACACACAGCAAUCUCACACACAUCAUACACAGCACUCUCACACACAUCACACUCAGCACUCUCACACACAUCACUCCCACACACAUCAUACACAGCACCCACACACACAAAGCACCCUCACACACAUCACACAGCACCCUCACACAAAUCAAUCACAUAUAGCACCCUCACACACAUCACACAGCACCCUCACACAAAUCAAUCACAUACAGCACCCUCACACACAGCACCCACCGCACCCUCACACACAUCACAGCUCACACACAACAUCCAUCACACACACAUACUGCACCCCUCACAUACACACAGAACCCCCCCGACACACUGCACCACACACAUACACAAUACUUCCAAACAUAUUUAUAUAAAAUAUAUACACGCACACACACACACACUACACUACACUACACUCCUAACAUACACACUCUGGAUCCCCUAUACACACACUAGAUUCCUUGUAAGCAAACACAUACAACACCCUUAAGAUACACACUCUCUACAAACACUACAUCAUCUAUACACACGCACACACACACACACUCUAUAGCCUGUAUGCACACUCUUGCUACAUCCCCUAGCCACAUAUGCAUUACAUUACACCACUAAAACCGACCUUAUUACACAAUACCACACCACAAUCAACUCACUCUACACACACGAAAUUCCACAAGUAGGCUCCAAACACAUGCACAAUACUCUUUCCUGGCAUUUUUGUCUCCUAGUAUCCAUUUAUAGAGACACCAGAGACAAGUUGCAAGGAAACACAGUGCAAGCAUGUUAUUAAAUUUGCUUGUGCUGUGCAGAACAAAUACAGGGCUUUUUUCUCAUGCUAGAGCUCUUUGGCAGAGCUCUGCGCAUGGUCUGCCCUGGCAGAGCAUUGAACCAACAUGCUCACUUUGAGAGGUGGUGUGUUUGUCAUUAGUGAUGACAAAACACACCCUCUCUGCCCAGCCCCUUCUUAGUAGGCCGCUGUGAUAAAAAAAUGCCUGGGCCAAAUGUUUUUCCCAGUCCGGCCCUGGAUAUAUCUGUUUUAAUUCCUAAGAUCUAAACCCAGAAAAGUGACCCGUAGCAUUAACUUUCUUUUCAAGCCCAGUUAGCAAUAUAUAUCAACAGGAAAAUAAUUUGAUUGGUGCAGAUCAUAUCUGUUUUAUCUGUUUAGAAAACGCUUAGAUUAGAAAAAUGCUAAUUUUCCUAGUGUGUUUGCUUUCUAUUAGACUUGUAUAGAGCUAAAAUUUUCAGUUCUUCCCUUGUUUUUGGGUGGGGUUAUCAUUAACAGAAUUAAGUCAAUGCCACUCUUUGGCUCUGCAGAAUUUCGCUACUUGAAACAAAACUUGGGAAAGUCACUCAGGCAGGCAGAAAAGCAGGGGAAAGGGGGUAUGUUUUGCAAAGCAAAUUCUGAGUUGCCAAAAUUAGAUAUUGUAGAUCUGGAUAAAAAAAAAAAAAAAAUAGGUAUUGAGAGAACUUAGGUUAUAAUGACUAAUUGUAAUCCUUUUUAUUUUGGUAUUUUGUAUUAAAGGAACACUAUAGUCACCAGAACAACUAUAGCUUAAUGUAGUUGUUCUGGCGAGUAUAAUCAUUGCCUUCAGGCAUUUUAAUGCAAACACUGCCUUUUCAGAAAAAGGGCCGUAUUAACAUUGCCCUUAGGGACACCUCCAAGUGGCCACUCCUCAGAUGGCCACUGGAGGUGCUUCCUGGGGCAGUGCUGCACAGUAGGCAGCACUGUCGUUCAGCGUCUCCACACACUGCAUAAGGACACUGAAUUUUCCUCAGAAAUGCAUUGAUUCAGUGCAUCUCUAUGAGGAGGUGCUGACUGGCCAAAACUGUGUUUGGCCCUGCCCCCUUUCCCUAUGGGAAAGCAUUGGAUUGGCUAGAAAUCAACAAUUCUGAUGAUGUCACCAAGGGGGCGCGGCCAGUGCCGGCGGACCCGUCUGGCCCUGGAAAUAAGUGGAGCUUUAAUUACUUUUAAGGGUGCUAAGAGUGGGGAAAGCCACCUAAAAGGUGAGUUUAGAACUAUAGGGUCAGGAAUACGUGUUUGUGUUCCUGACCCUAUAGUGUUCCUUUAUUAAAAAAUGGGUAUGAGUAAUUUUAAGUUCAAAAUAGGGGAUUUUAUGCAAAAUUAAAAUAAAAAAGUCAGUGGGCAAUUGACCACCCACUCAACCCUUCCACUAUGACAGGAACAAAGCUUUCCCACACAUCCAGUCUGUAACCUUAGUGACCAUCAUUAGUGACUACUGUUGCCCUACAGACAGCAUUGGUAGAAGCUUAUGAUAGGGCACAUUUCCCCCCCAUACUGAAAGAUGGUCAAAAACACUAACAAAGGGUGAGUUGGUCGUCCGUUGCCCAUGCCACUAACUUUCAUAGAAAAGAAAGUUACCGUCUUUCAAUCAGAAAGAAAAGAUUGUUCAAACUGCAUCUAAGGAGUUAGGUAGCUUAAUGUAGUGGUUCUGGUGUAUAUAGCCUAUCCCUGCGGGGGAGGUAAGGAGACACCUAAACAGUGAGUAGGACGCUAUAGCUUUUGGAAUAGAUGUUUGUAUUCCUAAUGCUAUAGAUUUCGUUUAAGGAGUACUGCACAGUACCUACACACUUGCACAGCACACACUGGACUGAACACAGAAUGGAAAUUAAAAUAGGAUUUUAUUUCUCCAAACUAAUAAUAUAUACAUAUGUUUAACAACUGCAUAUUGAUAAGUCUCGCACUAGGAUCAAUGACAAAAUGCCUGCCAAUCUCCCACUUAAAGGAACACUAAAGCAUACAUGUAGUCCUAAUGCUUUAAGGUCCCUGUCCCUAGUUAUAUAGGUAUGUGUUUGUUCAUGUGCGCGAUUAAUAAUAAUAUUAAAAUAAAGGGUUUUACUCACCUUUUUCCUGCAGCGAUGGUACCUCUGCUCCUCUCAUGGCAUGGCCUCCUCCUGCGUUUUCCAAUCCAAUGCUCCUCAUUAGUCAGUAUUGGGGAUCUGAUGUGCACAUGUGGCAAAUGCCGCACAUGCACCCUGGCUUUUCAAUAGGAAAGUGUAGCAGAAUGGACCCAGCCACCCUAAUUUAUACCAGCUCUGGGCUGUCUGUAUCCCCUUUGUUUUGCCCUCUCCUUGACCCCAUGCAUGAGAAAGUAACCCUAAUUGUACGAGACUUACUCCCCUGUCUUUGUAACCUAAGUUUCCCCCUGUUUCUCCUGGCCAUUCGUCAAAAUCCAUGCCCUUAAGUGGUUCCCACAGUUUUGUACAAUAAUUGAACAAAUUGCCGAACGGCAGACCACCCAGCUAUGGAAUGUGCCACUCAUUAACUCCGUUCACACCUUCACAAACCGCAACCACACAAACGUUCUAAGCGGUCGGCUGGGUGGUUGCCGUUCGUAUAGACGAACACGUGGUGGCGGCCAUCUUGGGACACGAACAAAGGCAGCGUGUUUGGUCGUCGAGUGCAUGGAACUAAAAUCGGACACUCAACGGCACGAAUACCGCUGGGACUUCCACCUCCAUCGAAGUUCACCUAAAAGUCCACGAACAGAGCGCUAAAAGUGCACGAAUAGAGCGCUAUGCGGUAAAAACAAUCUACCGAACUACAUACAGCCAAUAAAGUUGUGCACAACCGAAUUUACCCAUUAUUUGACUUAUAAGAUAGACCGGCCGCACAGCCUAAUUCUCUGGAACUCUUUUGGGCAUGAAAGUAAGCGUGCGGUCGGUCAAAUGUGACUUCCACAUAAUUCGUGAACCCCCUACUCUGAUCUGGGUGAUUUUUGGAUAUGUUGUUCACCCAGAUCAGAGCUAUCCAGGGAUGUGCCAUUUAUGGGGAUAUGUAAUGUUUUUUGUGUACUUCUGGAAAAUAUGUGGUUUUUCCUGCCUGGAGAUAAUUGCGUUAUUACGUUAUCUACCUCAGUUAUCAACCAGGCAGAGAGGAGGGCUUGAACAUACUGUGUCUCUAUGUAUAACCCUGUUUCAUUGGUUUGUGAACUUUGUGACCCCACGAGGUCCACCUGGCUGGUAACCUUGUGGGGGAAAUCACAUAAAAGGCAGUGUGCCAGCAUUAAAGGACCACUCUAGGCACCCAGACCACUUCAGCUUAAUGAAGUGGUCUGGGUGCCAGGUCCUUCUAGGGUUAACCCAUUUUUUUAUAAACAUAGCAGUUUCAGAGAAACUGCUAUGUUUAUGAAUGGGUUAAGCCUUCCCCCUAAUCCUCUAGUGGCUGUCUCAUUGACAGCCACUAGAGGCGCUUGCGUGCUUCUCACUGUGAUUUUUCACAGUGAGAGCACGCAAGCGUCCAUAGGAAAGCAUUGUAAAUGCUUUCCUAUGCGACGGGCUGAAUGCGCGCGCAGCUCUUGCCGCGCGUGCGCAUUCAGUCCAGGAGGAGGAGAGGAAGCAGAGAGCUCCCCGCCCAGCGCUGGAAAAAGGUAAGUUUUUAACCCUUUCCUCCUUUCCAGAGCCGGGCGGGAGGGGGACCCUGAGGGUGGGGGCACCCUCAGGGCACUAUAGUGCCAGGAAAACGAGUAUGUUUUCCUGGCACUAUAGUGGUCCUUUAAACCUUGAGUUAUUCCCUCUAAACUGAGUGUCGUCCAGUUACUGGGGAGGUGUUGGGAGAAUCUUUUCUUGCUUUGCUGUAUUUGCCUGUUCCUGUGGAUCACCUUCCUUGUUCCUGAGUUAUCUUGGAGAAAAUCAGCGGAGAAAAGUCCCUGCUAAACUAGAAAAGCAUUAAAUCAAUGAUUUCCUGUUAGGUCUUCCAAGUCAUGUGACCUUGUUUUUAUGGUCAAUGCUGCGUGAGUGCCUUCUUGACAGACAUUAGAGGUGGAUUUAGCACAGCAGCAACUCCUGGAACCCUGCCAAACAUAAGUGUAUAAUAUUCUUUUUUUUUCUCCCCCUCCCAAAAAAGCCCUAGUUACUGAGUGAGGGCUGAUUAAGCAGGGGAAUUUACUCAAUGUAUAAUUAAUUUAUAACUAUAAAGCCAAAAAAUCUCAGGGGAGGAUGCAUUUCCGACACAGAGUACUGUACUUCCUGUCACUAAUAGUUUUAAAAACUCCUACUACACAUGCUCACCAUCUUCUUUAAAGUGCUCAGUCGACAGCUGAACCCUGUGGCUAGUUUAAAAGUCAGAGAUAACGACGAUUACAGAUCAGGAAGAGUCUAUAGACAUUUUAAAAAGAUAACAAGAGUAGACUCUGAUUACUGCACUACAUCUGAAUAUGAAACUUCAGAUACAGAUAGCGAACAAGCCCCCGUGCCCCAAAUUAUGCAUAAUACUGGUAAAGGUAUUCUUAAGAAAGGUGUGUCUUUUUUAGGACAACCCCCCAGAGGGGGGGGAUAUACAGGUCCAGCUCAGACAAACUCGCAACAGGGGGAGAACUCGCAGACGAUAUUAGAAAAGGACACUAGAAUAAUUAACAUUUCAGACACUCCUCUCACCAUGAUACAAAGCCAAGUAAUUAUGAAGGGUUUGUCUUUUGUCCCAACUCCUCCAUUCAGUAAAUUUGAAUGGAUCAAAGACAUCAAUUUGUUUGGGAGAAGACUUGCCUUCCAUAAGUUCUUUAAAGUGAGAGAUGAGAAAAUGGCAAAAGAUUUAGGUUUUGAUACAAAGGAAUAUCAGUGCCUUUUGGACCAGGUGUCACUUCUAGAAUCUAAUGACAAUGUUUCCCCCCCACCCUAUACAGAUCUUCAUUCGAAAAGUAAGUUCACUCCCAAUUUUCAUGACUUUAAAAAUAUUGAUUGGUUUGUUGAAUCGACUACCAACACGAUUAAAAAACUUAAUACGGUAAAACCCAGGGAAAAUCUCACGAAAAAAGAAUGGAAGGCAUUAAAUGAAUUAAAGGAGAAUGAACAUAUUAUUAUCAAACCAGCAGAUAAGGGGGGCAACAUUGUCAUUAUGAAUAGACCCUACUAUGUCCAAAUGGCUGAAACUAUACUUAAUGAUGAGAAUACAUACAGAGUACUCACGUUUAACCCCUCAUCAAAGUUCAUGCUUGAGUACAAAACCCUAUUGGAUGGGGCAUUCGAUCAUGGGGUACUUACCAAGGAAGAGUAUGGUAACAUUUUCGUUAAAAAUCCUGUAAUUUCAACCUACUGUCUUCUGAAAAUUCGCACGGGGUAUGAAACAUUAACAGCAAGACCAAUAGUGUCAGGUUCUAAUAACUUUAUAAGUAAAGGGAGUAUAUAUGUGGAUAAGAUUCUACGACCAUAUGUAGAAAAACUACCCUCUUAUUUGAAAGACACUAGAGACUUCAGGUAUUUCAGGGUAUCUUUAAAGGUACCAUCUGGGGCCAUAGUAUGUAGCCUCGAUGUGGAGGCAUUGUACUCCUCUAUACCCCAUUCGAGUGGUAUAGGACAUAUAGGCUCAUUCUUACAAACAAGGGGUACUACUUUUGUUCUUGAUUUACUGCAGUUUAUACUUACCCACAAUUUCUUUCUUUUUAAUAACAAGUUCUACCACCAGGUGUGGGGCACAGCCAUGGGGAUGCCUUGUGCCCCCUCCUAUGCCAACCUGCACCUGGGUUGGUGGGAGAACCAUCUGUAUGUUCAGAACAUCUGAAACAAUAUAUGGACUACGUCUAUUUAUGGAAACGUUACAUAGACAAUAUCCUAAUAAUAUGGACAGGCACGAAACAACUUUUUACUGAAUUUGUGGAAGCUCUUAAUGAGAAUGACUUAAAUCUGCGUUUUACCAUGGAGAUAGGCAUGCCCACACUGAAUUUUCUUGACUGUACACUAUCACCGAUGAAUUACAAAUUCAUACCACCCUAUAUCGUAAACCCACAUCUACUAAUAAUAUGUUAAGUUGGGGAAGUCAUCACCCUGUUUCGCUUAAGAAGGGUAUUCCAGUGGGACAGUAUUUGAGACUAAAGAGAAACUGUUCCACCCUUGAGGACUUCAAACAAAAGGCUGCUUCAUUAAAAGAUAGAUUUAAAGCGAGAGGAUACCCUAAUAGGUGCCUUAAACAGGCAUAUCAAAGAGCACUCCUAUGCGAACGUGAGACCCUCUUGAAGGACGAACCUAAACCUUUCCCCCAAAAAACAAUUAGGUAUGUGGCAAACUACGAUGCAGGGUGGGACACAGCAAAAAAGAUUCUGGCAAGAUUCUGGCCACUACUUACUCAAGAUAGUCACUUGAAAGAUGUAAUCUCUCCACGAGUUUCUAUAACUGCUAAAAGAGGGAAAAAUUUAAAGGAUCUUCUGGUACCUAGUAAUUUUUCUAAACCUAAUAUGGACAAGAAGAGUUGGAUUAAUGUGCAGGUACCUAUCAAUGCAGACGAUGUGUAGCCUAUAGAGAGAGACUAGAAGUUUAUAAUCGACUCCUCUGGUAUGCAGAAGAUCCCAAUUAAACAAUUUUAACUGCAAUUCAACAGGGGUUGUCUACCUUCUCACCUGCAAAUGUGUCAAAAAAUAUGUAGGGAAAACUAUACGUCCCUUAAAAAGACGCAUGAUGGAACAUAUCCAUUCAGUAACCUCUGAAAGAGACACACCCCUGUUGCUAGACAUGUUAGGUUACACCACAGCGAUUCACCUAGAUGCUUUAAAUUCGCCGGUGUUGAAAAAGUACAAAUGGGAAAAGGGGGUGGUGAUCUGGAUUUGCUCCUGAAAAGAAGAGAGUGUUUUUGGAUUCAUAAAUUGGACACUUUGUCUCCAAAUGGCCUCGACGAAGGCUUUACUUUUACCCCCUUUAUUGAAUCUUAGACUUUAUUGUAAUGAGUAUAUAUUAGUUAAUUUGUUACUACCUAUAACGCUUUAAGAUUUGUAUCAUAAUCAUGGACAACUGAGGACAGUAUACCGUCAUAUGUAUUAUAUAUGUAUUUACUGUGCUAGUCUAUAUCUGUCUAUUUUACACCUGUCUGUAGUAUUGUUCCUCUUAAUCUAAGAAAGAAUGUUUGACAUCGGUUGAAACAAAUCCUUCUAUAAGCUACUUUCAUAUAAACAGUCAUAGCCAUUUGACAUAGUGAUUCUAUAUAAUUCAGUUCUAAGACAUUAUGAAAUACAUUUUAGAAUCUAAAUAAGACAAUCUAUUUCUGUUGAUUAGAAUCUAUGACUACUGUACUCCUGCUAUGAUGUAUCUUUAUAUUACUAUAUUAUUCAGUAACAUAUAUUAGGUUAAGUUAUAUGUGUUUAUCUUCUAGUUAGGAACUUGCUGAUAUCAAUGAGAAUAUAUACAUUUUUGUUUUGCUGUCGAUGAUAUUGCCUAGUGAUUGCGAUAAGGCAUAUACUGGCGAGAUUGUAUCUAUGACAACAAAAGAAUCAUGUAUAUCCGUGAUUGGCAUUAAGCUCCGCCCACCUUUACUGUGAUUGGCGCAACUACGGAUGAAUGACAAAUGGUACCAACCACGCUGACUUGGGGUCGUGUAAAUGGAACGCCGCCCAUUGUCUCGUGGGUUGGCUCGGCACAAUGGUGCCUCAGAUACAAAUACAAGCUCAGGUCAGUGUCCUCAUUGAUAGCCUUUGGGAAAGGUGCUCGUUUAAGCGCCGAAACGCGUUAGGCUUAUGGCUUUUUCAGAACUCACAGCACUUUAAUUUUACCACGUUUACGGUGUUUGUUUAUGGGGAAUAGAAGCCAGAUUUAAGUUAUGUUUGGAUAGGGAUUUGGUCUCCUACUUAUUCAGUAUCCAUUAGCCUUCCUAUACACAGGACUAGCAAUUGAUAGCUUUUAGCACUUAUGGGCAUUAGUAUAGUGUGAUCUAUCACUUGUCAUUAGCUGUUCAUCUUUCAACGCUAGGUGAUUUGCUAUGUCUGAGUCAGUGGGACUAGAGUGUUCAGAUGUAUGUCUGUUGAAUGCAUAUUUAAAUUACCAGCUGUAGUACUUUACACUGACUGGCUUCACACUGGGGGCAUUUGGAGAUUUGGAGUUUAAAAGUAGUGAAGCUUCCAACUGCAGGACUAAUGAUUGGACUCUGAGGACUGAUCUGAUUAUGAUUUUAAUCUGCAAUAAUUAUUGAUUGUUAGCCAUGUCAGUUACUUCUUGGCUCCAUAUUACCACUGCAGAUUAAUAAUAUUGCCAGGUGCAAAGACAAUAAGGAAUCUAUCAGCAUCCUGCUGCUUUAACCCUUUGCACACUGUGUGAGGAGAGUUAUUACUAAGUCAGGAGUAGCUGAAAUGGUUGGAGUCUAUCAGUAUCUUGAUGCUUUAACUGUAUGCACACUGUGUGCUGAGAAGUAAAGGAAUAGUUGACGUAUUUCAUGAAAGCAGCACUAUUAAAUAAAAAGUUAAAGUUAUCGUUGCAGGAACAUUACUGAUGAGAUCAUGUCAGGUAUAGCUAAGAGAGGAAGAGAGAGUCCAAGAAUUUAACAGAGAUAUGUACUUGGUACCGUAUGGUGAUCUUCAUAUUCUAGGAUUCUGGCUAUGUGGGGUAGUUAUUAGUAUCUCCUUAUUGUGCCCAGCUCUGUGUGUUAUUUCUCUGUAUAUUACUCAGCUAUAUCUGUUGUAUGGUUAUCUCUGUAGUUAAUCCAGCUCUGUGUAUUGUAUAGUUAUCAUUAUCACGUGUAUUAUUUCUCUAUCUAUAUUUUAUCAGCUCUGUUUGUGAUAUGGUCAUCUCUGUAUUGUACUCAGCUCUAUGUUAUAUAUAUAUAUACAUAUCUCCAGAAGCAAAGUCAGCACUCGAGGACUUGUAAAGUAAGGUGAAUUUUAAUCCAAAGAUUAAAACCAGUUUACAAUCCGGUCAACGUUUCAGUUCUUACAUCAUAACUUCCUUCAGGGUAUAAUAGCAUAACCAUUCUAACACUGACUAUAUAUAAGAAAAACUAACCUACCUUACUCUCAUCACCUGUGUGCGAGCGACCCCAAUUCCUCCAUGCACAUGCGUAGCACCAAGUCCUACCCCCUUAUGAUGUAACGAGGUCCGUGAACCCGUCCCCAAGGAAACAUACAAAUAAGAAUCUAUUAAAACAAGGUUACCACGGUAAUCUAUAAACAAAGGGCCAUCAGAGCUGUUCCGUGCUACAAAUUUAUGAAAAGAGCAUACAGUGGACCAUGGUGAGCAAGAAAGAUAAAAUACACAUUAAGAUACAACGAUGAAACCAUAGUCAUAGAUUGAACUAUCAGAAAGGUGCUAAUAAGCACUAUAUUUAUAUUGAUAUAAAGUACACGUGCGUUAGGUUAUAAGACAUAUAGCCAUAUUCUUAAAGUGCCCAAUGUAAUCUUAAAAGUGACUCUGUGACAUGCAUGAAAGUGAAUACGUGCAAUCAAAGAGUAUUAUAAUUAUAAUAUUACUGUAAAAAUAAAGAUUACUAAAUGCUCAAUAUCUAUCAAUUAAAUGUUUGUUCAAGGAGACUUAGAUUUAUGUUUACUAUACUUUUGACUUGGUUCAAGAGGGAAAUGACGAGUACCUAAUCAAAAAUAAUUACACUGUGUUCACAUAUUGUAACGAAAACACAAUUUAUCUAAUAAUAGAAAAAAUGAAAUCUAACAUUGUUAAAAGCAUGAUCUGAUAUAUACACAUUAUCUGGUGCAAUCCUGUUCCUAGGAAAGAUAUAUAGAUAUACAUUGUAACAGCUAUGUGAUACAAAAGUGAAUACAAAUACAAAAAAACAAGUCCUGCGCUGUAACUUUUUGGGGGGUUUACUGUAUGUAUUGGGGCUAAUGUGUGUACUAUGGUCAUUGCUGCCACCCAAGAGUAGUGGGAGUUUGAGCACAGGGCUUGUUUUUGUGUAUUUGUAUAUACUUUUGUAUCACACAGCUAUGUUACAAUGCUGCCGCCCAUCCAAUGUGUUCCCUAUUAAGGGUUAAUAAGUAUGUAGGGUUUUAGAAAAAUACCCCUGUCUGUCUCUUUAGCGAUAUCUCUGCCUGAAGCUCAAGGAAGAAAGGUGAAUGGUUAGUGUAGGACCCACCUGAGAGGUUUGCCUUGACGUGGCAGGUGGGCAUACCCUCUAAUGGAAAUUGGAGCAACUAAAUAACCUCCAUUUGUUUAAAUAUGCAUAGGGAUUUGGGAAGAGCACAUGUAAGGUUUUUGUUUUUUUUCUUUAGCCCAGCAGUUCCCAAACAGCGCCCAGCACACAGGGGAGCCGCAAGUUAUUUUUUUCCGGUGCUAUGAUGAUAGCACCGGGAACUGUGCUCUCCCCUGCUGGCUCUGCAGGACCGGAGGGGAGAUCAGAGAUCUCCCUCUCUGGCCCGCUAGCACUUUGCUGACAGCCGGCAGGGGAGGGAGUGAGAGAGGACCUGGGGGAGCUCUAACCUGCAGCUCUACCGGGUUUUCCUCUCACGAGCUUGGAGAGUUGCCGCAGUUAUCACGGCAACACUCCGAAUAUCGCAAGAGUGAACUCUAGUAGCUCCUGAGGCUGCUAGAGUUUACUCUCUCCACUGGGACCACCAGGGCUUCCCCACCGGACCCCUAGGGAUUACAGGAAAUGCCCCUCCUCCCAGGCAAAGGUAAGCAGGGAGGGGGAGUGGGGGAAUGUCAUUUUUAUUUUGAAUUUUAAAAAAAAAGUAUAUAUUCAUUUGCCCUCCACCCCCACAGACCCCACACCACACAAUAACUCACACAUUAUCCCCCAUACACACACACUACCUCCAUACACACAAUUGCCCCCCCACACACUGCCCCCAUAUACAUAAUUACCCCCCAUACACACACCCCAUAUACAUAAUUACCCCCCAUACACACAAUUACCCACCAUACACACACUGUACCCCUCACACACACACACACACACACUGUACCCCUCAUGCACAAACUACCCCACAUACACACACAAACUACAUCCUUCACAAGCACAAUGCACCCCUCAUAUACACACGCACACUGCAACCCUCACACACAUAUUCCAAUAUUGCCCCCCUGUGUACACAUAUUGCACCCCUCACACACACACACUGCACCCUUCACACAUACACACACACACUACAGCCUCUAUCCUGGCAGACCCCAGGUAAUUUGUCAAACUGUUCUUAAAUGGCACCACUGGCACCAUAACCACUACAACAUAAUGUUUCUUUAGAUAAUCUUCCAGUGCCCCUCCCAAGAUUAGGGGCCCAGUAUAUGCCGCAGCGUUGUACAUAUGUACAACCUAGAAAAUAAUUUUGACUUAGGGUGCCUUGGAAAAAUAUUGAAAUAUUAAAGGUGCCUUGAACCUAAAAAGUUUGGGAACCACUGCUUUAGCCCCUGUACAUAGCCCACAUUCAUAGGUAUCAUGCACAAUGCCACAAACUACUCAUGAAUGUAUUCUAUACAAUGUAAAAGCCCACAUAGGCACAAAUACAACGCUACAAAGCAACUGCAGCACCCACAAAUAACACAAGCAGAAUACAGCAACAUGCACACAUAAUUUAAAAAAAUAGUGCCGGCAUGCCAAUGGACUUCAAAAUCUCCAUUUGGCACAAUACUACUAAAAGGUUGCCUACCCCUGCUCUAGUAACUCAAUAGGAAAACGGAGCUCUUAGAUUAUAGCCAAUACUGAUAUACUUGACACAGGUAAAAAGCACCACUGCCUUUUUGAGCUUAGAGCAAAAUGGGUGUAAAAUAGAAAAUAUAUAAUUAACCCUGGGGCGUCCAGGAGUGUUUGAGAACAUUCUCAAGCAGCGGUUUUCCUGCUGAAAGAACAAGGUGGACUCAUUGACGACUAAUGAUUUUAAUUAGUGACGCAUUAAGUCAGCGCUCUGCUUUGUUCCAUUGUAACUGGGGUUUGGCUUGGCUCCCAUUUUCCAUGAAUAUGGAUGAACAGCCCUUUCAAGAAUUACUUCACAGCUGUGUAUUUAUAGCAAGUCCUGUAACAAGAGCUGUUGGAAGUUUUAUCACACUUAUAUAUUAAUUUAAAAAAAAAAAAUUGUGUAAUGCUGCUGUAUUCUCUACAGUUGACUAUAUUUUAUGUAUUUAUUUUAUCAUGAGAUAAUAUAAUUAGAACAUGUUUUACUUAUUGUAUUUUUUUCCAUUUAAAUUAUGUGAAUUUAGGUCCUACUGGGUUACAUUCUUAACUUUUUUUCCCAUUAAGUUGACUAAUAAUAACAACAUAUAGAAUGCACAAGACAACUGAUGAAAGCUAAAUGUUUUAAAUAAAAAAUAUUUUUCCCUAGUACAUUUUUCAGUAUAUAUAUAUAUUAGAUUUAAUGUUUGGUUUGUUUGUUUUUUUAAAUAAGGUCUAAGAUGAGGAGCAUACAAACACAGACACAUGUGCACACAAUCAUUUUAAUACACAAACUUACAUUUUGUCAGGGCAGCAUUCCCAGAGAUUUGGCAUUGCCACCAUGACAACUUCAUCAAAAUUAAGUUGUUAUGGGGGCCUGAGGUUCUUAAACAGUUCACCGUUCACAGUCCCAAAGGUUGCACUUCAGCCCCAGGUUGGGUGAUGUCACUUUCUAUAUUAGAAUGUUUGCAGUGCAACUGACACCAUGAAGUGUUAAGGUCCCAAGUCCUAGGGUCCAGGACAUACAUAGAGCAUGUAACAGCUUCUGCCCUGUUUUGUAAUUCUCACCAAUUUCGGGUGGGCAUGUUUGUUCAUGUGUGGCAUUAAAAUUGACCCAAUUUUAAAAAAAACCCACAAACAUGUCAUAAAGAAGAUAUAACCCUGAAUCAUGUAUUGGAGGAACAUUAUUUUGAGUGAUUAACAGCACAUAUAGACAGUUUAUUCAUUUAGGAUGGCAUAGGUAUCCAGUUUAAUUCUCUGGUCUUCUUUUUGGUUGUUUUUUUUUUUGUUUAAGUUGGUCCUUGACCAGUUAUUUUAGAUUGUUGAAACUCUGGUCAAAGUAAAGUAUUUCCUUUAUUUCCCCUCUUUAGAUUUGGGACAUGAGCGAUGAUGAAGUCAUCUGAAAAUGAAUAAAUGAAAACAGAAAAAGUUACCAAGAUCCUCUGCCGCAUCCUUUAUAACAGGAAACACCAACCAGUCCAGAUCCUCGUUAACCUUCCAAAACCAAAUAUAUAUUUUUUUAUUACUACAAAAUAAUUGUUGCAAUAACUUGUGUGUGUGCAUGGUUUCAUUUUCCAGAUGAUAUACUGCUUUCUCAGUAAUUCCAUGGGGACUUAUGACCAUCAUCUCAAGCUCAUCAUUACAAACCUUAUGGAUGUAUGAACUGUCCUUGUCAUUUAGAGUUAGCUCGGCUCUAGAAUAAGAAAGACAUUUCAUGCUGGCAUGAGGUCUGUAAGAACCUAAUUGUAAUAAUAGCAUUCAGUGAUUUUGGUGCUUGAGGGCAUUCAAAUCGUAAAUGAUAUCUUUAUGAGAAUAUGAUUAUUCUGCAUAAACUGAUUUCCUUAUAUGGAAAUGAAUACUAUAAUUAUAUAUGAAAUGAAAAGAAAUCUUGUUAUAUGUUUAGAUUUGGACAUUAAACACAUGUUUACCUGGGCUGGGACCACACUAGCCUAUAAUUGAAUAUUAAUGUUUAAAUAAAUAUCUGUCUAUCUAAUAUAAUAUAAUCUAUCAUAUCUAUCUAUCUUAGACAUUUAUUUAUCUUGACCCAGAGAGAUAAGCAGUGUUGCAUCUCAGAUAUAUAUUGAUGCUAUAAUCAAAAUGAUAUGGCCUGAGAUUGAAAAAUGUUGAUUGACAAGUGGCACACGAUAGUCUUUAUAAAGCAUUGUAGUAUGUAAGAAUUGUUAUUACAGAGACACAUAUCCCUGCAAUACGUUUUAUUUAUAUAAAUAUCCUUUUUCAUUACUUAAAUGACCUAUGCAUAUUCCAGACACCAAAGGUAUAAGAAGUCUGUCUUACUUUGUUUGUAUAGUACAUAGAUGCUUGGUGUUUGCAAAAAGCUCUUGCACAUGGACUCUCAGGAAGUAAUGAGACACCUAGUAGGAUAUAUAUACAGGGAACUAUGGAAAAUUGACAGGUGAGUUGCAAAUAUAGCUCAGCUGGAAAAAUAGCUCAAAUUUAAGAAGUUUCAUCUCAUGUCAAUUUGCAAAUUAGUCAGAAUUAAAGUAGCAAUGAUAUCGCAUUUACAAAUAAAUGAAUAACUGGUCGUGCUGGCUUUCACUCCCUUAUAUUUAUUUAUAUUUAGGAAUAAGAAAUCACACAUAUCUUUAUUGCUCAUAAAGUCUUCUGCAAGUGUCCAUAAAGCCCCUGGAACAUUAUCUAUUCCAUAGGAAGCCUGUGGAGGGUUAGGAGCUGAGAUUUCUAAGCCAUUUUCUGGUUCACGAGGACUCCAGUCAAGAAGUAUCAGAAAGAGGGUGUUUGCUGCUAAAGAGUAAAUUUCGUUGUCCAAAUAAUCUAUUAUCUUUAGUUACACAUUGGGCUAGGCCUUUGCAUUUAUAACAGUUGCAGCCAUGAGAUAUACAGUACAGUGAAGGUUUACCUCUCUUACGUUGAGUGCUCCCAGCUAGCAUUAUUAACAGGCCCUUCCAUAUAUAUAUAUAUAUAUAUAUAUAUAUUUAUUUUUUUUAAAUUCGAUGAAUCCUAUUUAAGCAUAUGGAUGCCAGCAUAUGGAUGCCAAGCUCCCCCCCACCCAUUUUAACACUGUUUACAUUGCAGUGUUUAAAUGCCUCUUGUGGCUGUCAUUCAGAAAUAAAAGGAGCAAAACUGUAAUUUCAAUCAGAUGGUCUCAUAGACCCCAUCAGAUUGGCGCAGUUUGGCUUUUUGCUGUGGUUUCAGCCAAGGGGGCAGGAUGACAGCAUUGAGACCAGUGCUUUGGGGGAGAAAAGAGAAGUAACCCUGCUUUUUUUCCCCUCCAUACAGUUGGGGGACGGGGUCCUAAAUAGCCAACAGGGCACUAUAGUAUUAAGAAUACACAUUUGUAAUUCUAACGCUGUAGUGUUACUUUAAAUGUACUUUAUCGUGUCAAUGUCACUUUGUAAGGAAAUACUAAAUAUAUCUUUGUGAAUGGCCCCCUCUUUAACCAUAGAAAACAAUUUAGCUGUAUGUAUAUGUGUUCCAUACAUAGCAGGGUUAUAUAACCCCCACGCCCCCCAUGCCUGACGACCAACAUGACACACACUCAUAGUUAUAUUUGGUGCACUACCCAGCUACAGUUGUAAAUCUUUUAGGGCUUCUGUUUGUUUAAUUCAUUUCCUUUCUUUUCUCAAUCUUUUGAUUUAAGUUUCAUGGUCACAUAGUCCUUAAUAAAUUGGGGCAUAGUAUGGUAUAUUAAUCUGGAAUUAAGGAAGAUCCACAAAAGUCCUUUGCAAAGUACAAUAUUUUUUAAAUAAGAUUAACUGUCUCUUUGAACCAUGCCAACUGCACAUAAAACUAUUAUUUUUGUUAGAUUAUUUGAACAUCAACUGGAAAUGCAGCCAGGUAUUUUAAUCACAAUAUUUGGCUUAAUUAGUUGUAUUCACCUUUCCAUACAUGAAAAAUACAAUUUAAUGUAAAAUAAAACCAUCCUAAAUUUGACAAAGAUGUAACGCUUAACAGUUGUCUAACCCAUGUUUGUAUUUUGUUGUCAUUGUAUGCAAUAAAAUAUUUAAGUUUAACAUU
rnacentral:lncRNA from 1 species